CCAGGUGUAACAUCUGAAGUAUAAGCCUAUAUAAAGAUGGAACAUUCCUUUGUUAGGGGAGCUUGGCUGUUACGCAACUAUGCCACCUGGCUCCCAGCCGAAUAAACCUUCCUUCCUCCUGUAUUCAGUGUCCAAGAGAUCUGUUUCCCUUGGCUGCUCCUGCUACACUAUCCAGCAGGGGCAGCGAAACCUAGGAAUAAAAAGGAAGCAGGUUAUCUGUAACCUGCCAGUGAAGAAUUGGAGGCAGGUGCGAAAAUUCUUGGCAGCAGUGGGAUUCUGCAAGCUGUGGAUUCCUAACUUUGCAGCUCUGGCUUAAUCCCUGUAAGAAGCCACAGUAGGGGGAAAUGGAGAGCUGUCUGAGUGGCGCUUGGAGCAGCAGGGGGCCUUCUCACAGUUAAAAAAAAAAAAAACAACAAACAACUGAUGUCUGCCUCGGCUCUGGGACUGCUGGACUUGACAAAACCUUUAUGCUAUAUGUGUCUGAGAGAGAAAAAAUGGCAGUAGGGAUUCUGACCCAGACUGUGGGCUCAUGGCCUUGACCUGUGGCAUACUUGUCCAAACAACUGGAUGGAGUUUCCAAGGGAUGGCCCCUGUGUCUGCAAGCCUUAGCAGCCACUGCCCUACUGGCACAAGAGGCUAACAAGCUAACUUUGGGACAGAAUUUAAAAAUAAAAGCCCCAAAAGGUGACAGUCAUGCACUGCUGAGGACAUCAAUGAACCUCCACCACAGUAGCCCAGGGAAAUGCCCAUGCAGAUGCAGAGGCCCAGAGGGCAGCAUCUAUCCCAUAUCAGGCAUCAGUUGUGGUCCCCCUACUGCCCCAGGUCCCAAAGUUGGUGCCAGUUUAUUCAGAGAAGGCAAGAAAAUUCCUUCAAACUGAAGAUGGAAAGGAAAUAAAGGGAGAAUGGAUACAUCUGCCAGAUGGACGAGUAGCAGUGCCACAAGUACUAGGACAUGCAGUGGUCUUGGCUGUCUAUGAAACCUCCCACCUUGGGCAAGAAACCCUUAAAAAAUUGUUAGGCCAGUAUUUUUACAUCUCUCAUUUAUCUGCACUAGCAAAAACAGUGACAUAACAGUAUGUAACGGGCAGACAGCACAAUGACAGACAAGAACCUACAAUUCCACCAGGAAUCCAGGCUUAUGGAAGUGCUCCUUUUAAAGACUUGCAAGUGGACUUCAUUGGAAUGCCUAAGUGCGGAGGUAACCGAUAUCUGCUGGUUCAGGUGACUGAGUUUGGAUGAGGACUGGAACACAGCUCCCCUACAACUGAGGUGGAAAGGACCCCAAAAUGUCAUUCUAACAACUCCAGCUGUCAUGAAGGUCAAGGGAGUUCCUGCGUGGAUACAUCACAGCCAUGUGAAACCUGCAGUAUCAGACACUUGGGAAGCAAAGCCAAAUCUCCAUAACCCAUGCAAGAUCACCUUAGAAAAAACAGACAACAAGCCCUGCUCCAGUCACACCCUGGAAGCUAUCUGACCUACACAAGGCUGAAGCAUGAGGACUGCCCCCAUGGGACAGGUGCUCCUUCUCUUUGGACUAUGGACUUGUAUUUUUGCUGCCCCAGUAAAUGUAAACUUCCCAUCUGAUUGUUCCCAGUGCAUACAUAAGGUUGCUAAGGUAAGACAAAAGGUUACCACAGACCUCUUGUUUUACAGUUAUUAUGAAUGCACUGGAACCCUCAAAGGAACUUGUUUAUAUAAUGCUAUCCAGUACCAGGUGUGCAGCCCAGGGAACAACCAACCUGAUGUAUGUUAUAACCCAUUUGAACCUGCCAUGUCUACCAUAUUCAAAAUAAGGCUGAGAACUGGUCCCUUCUUAGGGGAUACAAGUAUUUACAAAAGCUAAGGACAAAGGAAUACCUAAGUAGGUCACCAUAAAAUUUGAUGCUUGUGCAGCUGUCAAUAGUAACAAGCAAGGGCUAGGGUGUGUCUCUCUUGGUUGAAAAAGAAGCUAUACGGCAGAGCAUAAAUACAUCUGUCUUCUCUGGGAAACAGUCAAAGACAUAGAAGAAAAAAAAAAUACAUCUGUCAUGACUGAUGGCCAUGCAGUGGUCAUGUUGUAACUACUGGUCAUGUGUCAUCUGGGCCACCUGAAAAAAUAAUAAAAAUAACCCAGUCCAUCUCCAAAAGGGGAGGAGUAGCCCCCCCUGCACCUCUGGCUAUUGUAAUCCAUUAGAAUUAACAAUCACCAAUCCUCUGAAUCCUCGUUGGAGGAAAGGGAAAUAUGUAAUAAUGGAAAUUAAUGAAAAAGGACUGGACCCCAUGGUUAACAGUCUAAGUCAGGGAAAUAUCCAGAAAUAAUCAUCCCACCCGAUGUUUCAAACUUUUAAUGAUAUAUUGAAUGAACCAGUUCCAGAACUUCCCCAGAAAGAAAGAAAUUUGUUCUUUCAGUUAGCUGAGAAUGUGGCCAAGAAUUUAAAAGUGCAUUCUUUUUAUGUGUGCGUGUGUGUGAAGGAACUACUAUGGGGAACCAGUGGCCAUGGGAAGCAUGCGAGCUUGUGCCUGCUGACCCUGUCCCUAAUGUGACCUAUGUACAAAAGGGCCUGAGUAACCACUUCUAGAUCUUAAAAACCUCCAUCAUUGGACAAUAUUGUCUGGCCAGAAUAGGAAGGGGUGUGAUGGACCCAGUGGGAAAGCGGACUGUUUGGGACAGAAGCUAUAUAAUGAAACCAGGAAAACAAUCACUUGGUGGAUUUUAGAUAGGACCAAGACCAACCCUUUCCAAAAGUUUCCCACCUUACGGGUGGCCUGGACCCACCUGGAACUCUACCGGGACUGGGUAGUGCUCCUGGCUUGUACUGGAUAUGUGGGCACAGGGCCUACACCAAACUGCCAGACCAGUGGAUGGGCAGUUGUAUCCUUGGCACCAUCAAGCCCUCUUUCUUUCUAUUACCCAUAAGAACUGGGGACUUGUUAGGUUUUCCUGUCUACUCUUCAUGAGACAAGUGAAGAGUAGUUACAGGGGACUGGAAAGAUGAUAAAUGGCCCCUGAGAAAGUAAUACAAUACUAUGGGCAGAGGAUGGCUCAUGGGGCUAUUGUACUCCGAUCUACAUGCUUAAUCGAAUCAUUCGAUUGCAAGCUGUCCUAGAAAUCCUGACCAACAAAAUUGGCCAGGCUCUAACUGCCCUGGCACAGCAGGAGACCAAGAUGAGAAAUGUCAUCUACCAGAUCAGACAGGCUUUAGAUUACCUACUGGCAGCUGAAGGAGGGGUAUGUGGAAAAUUCAAUUUAACCAACUGUUGCCUGCAAAUAGAUGACCAGGCUCAGGUGGUUGAAACUAUUGUAAGGGACAUGACAAAACUGGCACAUGUACCUGUACAGGUCUGGCAUGGGUUUGGCCCUGGAUCAAUGUUUGGGAAUUGGUUUCCUGCUAUAGGAGGACUCACGACCAUCAUCGUAAAUGU